GGCAAUGCAUUUACAAUAGCCAGAGAGGUGUUUUUAUGUACAAUCAACAAUUAAGGUAUCUUCUUGUGCUGAGCUUCCAUCAUGGUUGCAAGACAUUACCAUUGGGGCAAGGUUAUUUUGCUCGUAGAAGCAAGUUUUAAUUAAAAACUCAAUAAAUAAAGUACUGAAAAUUAUUAUAAUCAAUAUGAAAAAACCUAAUAACAAUAGGUUAUUAUUCUUGUUGAAACCCUAACUUCAUAAUAAAAUUUGAUUAUCCUAAUACAAGACUUAAUACAAUUUCGUAGUUGUGGAACACUAACUAGAUAUAAAGAAAAAAUACAAAUUACAACAAAAAAUACAGGUUUUGAAGGUCCAACAAAAAUGAUUUGCUAACAAGCUAUAAGCUUGAGAAAGAUAAUUAAUGAGAGGGUGAGUUCACAAAAUCAGUGAGUAGAUAACGUUCAAUAUACAUACACAAGGUAAUACAACAAUAAGAAAUAUAUAUACAAUUAUGGCUUUAGAUUCUUAUAGGAAGGUUUCUCAAAUAGGCCAUAACAAAGAUAUCGUAAGGUAAAACUCGUUAGAAAAUAAAAAUACAAUGAGCAUGAGGCUCCGUACUAUAGGAUGAUCAGUUCACACAGGUUGAUGACUCCCUAGACCAACUAGGGUUUCAAAUACGAUGUGCACUAAGACUAACACUACCCUAUUAGCAUGAGCAUUCUAACGGGCAUACCAUAAGUUCAUAUCAUAAUCAAACAAACAAAUUCAUAUCUCAAGGCCCAACUCAUGACAUUAAUAAAAUAAAAAACUAUCAAUUCAGAAGUCAAUUUAGAAGUAUAUAUUGGCUUAUAUCAAGAAUUCAAAUUCAACAAUUGAUCAUGUUUUAUCAUAACAAAGAUAAUAAUCAACAUAUAUAUUAUCAAGAAGCACGAUCCAAUUGAUAUUAACAGCUCAAAUAUUUAUAUUAUUUCUCAUGCAUAUGAAAAAUUAUACACUCAUUUGACUUAAAAGUAAACAGAACUCGAAAGCAAAUACCGAAGAAAAUACUACUGAUAUUCCGCAUGUAGAAUAUCAAGAUUAUCUAAAUACAAAAGAGACAUUAUAAAAUGACUCGAAAAGAACAUACAACCUAUUUAAUACACUUAACUAAGGGUCUAUUUUAUAACCCUAUAUAUUAUUUUUAACUAAACUAGUUAUUUUUCCCAAAAACCAAAAAAGUAAAUGGUUUUCCAGAAAUCUAAUUCAUAAUAAAACAAAUAAUGAGACUUGAUAAUAAUUCACUAAAUAACCAUCAAUUAUUCAUCAAACCAAUCUGAAAAGGCUAAUAUUAAAGCUAGGGACCAAUCUGGAAUUUUAUCAUAUUUUUAGGGGUCAAAUUAUAAUUUUAUCAAAUUGGAAGACCAAACUAAAAAUGUCAAAAAUUCAUAACUAUACUAGAAUUCUGCCCAUAAUUCAUCCUCAAUUUUGCCCAGAAUCUCAAAUUAUGCUCCAAGGACCACUCUGGAAUUUUAUCAAAUUUCUAGGGUCAAAUUGUAAUUUCAUCAAAUUGGAGGACCAAAGUGAAAAUGUCAUAAAUUCAUAACUAUACUGGAAUUCUGCCCAUAAUUCAUCUUUAAUUCUGUCCAGAAUCUCGGAUUAUGCUCCAGGGACCAAUCUGUAAUUGUUUCAAAGUUCAAGGACUAAACUGUAAUUUUCAUAAAUUGAGGGACCAAGCUGAAAUUUUAUAAUCUUCAACCUCAAACCCAGAAUUUACACAGAUAACCUACUGAUAUAUCAAGAUUUCUAACUUAAAUUCACCAUUUACAUAAACCAUAACUCAAAAUCAUUAUUUUUAUCUAAAAUCUUUCAAAAUCAACUAAAUAACUCAUUACCCGUAACAAUCAACCCAUAAUUUUUCUGUAAUGUAAUUCCUACACAAUGCAUAUUCGAGAGCAAGCACAACAACUCAAGAGCAAAGAAACUCGAUGAAAUAACAUAACCGCACUGGUUGCCAUAAAAAACAUAGUUCUUUUAGUAUUUUUUUUUUAAAAAAAAUUGUAAUAGGUCAAUCAUAUUACCCGAGUGUGUGACACAAAGAUGAUCAUCAUAGAAAAUUACUUUUAGGUGCUUGAGUUUUAUCCUUAGAUGACAAACUUACUUUGUCCUACUAAUGCUUUUGCUUUCAUUGUUUCGAAAGUAGAAGAGACAUAAACAUAAUCAUUUCCUUCCUUUUACUUUCCACUUCUUUGUAACGGACUGCAAACGGGAUGGUGCUUAGGGGGGCCAGUUUUUCUUUUCCUUUCUUUUUAAAAUCUUAUGCCUUUGGGUGAGGAAAUUAGUGGAGCAUUAGACUUUUUAAAAGACAACAAAAAGAAGCAAUGUCUCAUCUUUUGAUAUGGUGGUCUUCCAUGAUCAGUUUGUUGAUGAAGAUAUCGAAAGAUUCGAGUCUCCGUUCUAGCUCAGGUUGGAAGCUAGGCCGAAAGCUAAGCUUCUUUUAAUUAUGAAUUGUUUAUGCACAGGAAACCCAGAAGCUUGAACAAACAGAAAUGCC
rnacentral:lncRNA from 1 species